ACAGUAUUUUAAUAUUAUUUGGAAGCUGCCCAGAGUGGCUGGGGAAGCCCAGCCAGAUGGGCAGGGUAUAAAUAAAUCAUCAUCAUCAUCAUCAUCAUAAUAUUAUUAUUAUUAUUAUUAUUAUUAUAUUUUAUUUGUACCCUUCCCAUCUGACUGGGUUGCCCCAGCCACUCUGUGCAGUUUCCAACACAUAUAAAAACCAUACUA
rnacentral:miRNA from 1 species